ensembl:miRNA
UCCCUGUCCUCCAGGAGCUCACGUGUGCCUGCCUGUGAGCGCCUCGACGACAGAGCCG